rnacentral:rRNA from 1 species
GAUGAACGCUAGCGGCAGGCUUAACACGUGCAAGUCGAGGGGUAUAGUUCUUCGGAACUAGAGACCGGCGCACGGGUGCGUAACGCGUAUGCAAUCUACCUUUUGCAGAGGGAUAGCCCAGAGAAAUUUGGAUUAAUACCUCAUAGUAUGUGAGAAUGGCAUCAUUUUCACAUUAAAGUCACAACGGCAAAAGAUGAGCAUGCGUCCCAUUAGCUUGUUGGUAAGGUAACGGCUUACCAAGGCAACGAUGGGUAGGGGUCCUGAGAGGGAGAUCCCCCACACUGGUACCGAGACACGGACCAGACUCCUACGGGAGGCAGCAGUGAGGAAUAUUGGACAAUGGGCGCAAGCCUGAUCCAGCCAUGCCGCGUGCAGGAUGACGGUCCUAUGGAUUGUAAACUGCUUUUGUACAGGAAGAAACACUGGUUCGUGAACCAGCUUGACGGUACUGUAAGAAUAAGGAUCGGCUAACUCCGUGCCAGCCGCCGCAGUAAGAC